rnacentral:lncRNA from 10 species
ACAGCCUCCUCAGUAAUUGGGACCACCAGCGCGCGCCACCACACCCAGCUAAUUUUUGUGUAUAUAUUUCUUUUUUUAGCAGGGGCGGGGUUUCACCAUGUUAGCCAGGAUGGUGUCCAUCUCUUGACCUCGUGAUCCGCCUGCCUGCGCCUCCCAAAGAGCUGGGAUUACAGGCCUGAGCCACCGCGCCCGGCCGUACAGUUUGUAUUCUAACACCAACUCAUAAGGGAAUAAACCAGGGUUACAAGUGUUGCUGCCUCACCAUGGACAUCCCACAGGACAAUCCACUGAACAAAUAACCCUUUUGUGUAGAUCCAGGAUACUUUUCACUUCCUAAACAUAAAUCCCACCACAUCUGUUCAACCAGCUCUGCUCCAGGAUAAAAAAAUAUAUAUUGAUGAAUUUCCAGCCUUGUUUCAUAUUCUGUUGUUCCCGGCAGCAGAUUUAUUUUUUAUAGUUGUAAACCGCCAAGUCAUUUUUUGGUGCUGUCUUUUGUUUUAUAAAGUCUUCCCUAUAAAGACAAACUACAGAGCAUUAUCAAGAUUUUCUGUUAAAUUGUAAAGUUCUUUAGACUUAAAUUUAAAUUAAGAUAUAUUCUUUAAGUACAAAUGAUAUUUUUAAAUUUAUCUAAGGGCCUGGUGGAGUAUGAAGACAAAAAGAAAGAAAACUCUUAAAGAGGGUCACCUUCACUGAUAUUGGCAAAUCCUUGUGUUUUCUGUCUGAAAGAUGAUUCAUGAAUGUUUUGCAUCACUUUCCUUUAGAGAAAGAGUGCAUUCUUAAAGCAUAAACAAUACCUAUUACAAAGCAGCUUCAGUUUUUUUGUACAUUAAAAUAUAUAUAUAAUAUUUGUAUAUAUUGUUCUAAAUCCCUUGCUCAUUCUGAAAAAGUUUUUUUUUCUGACUUGUUUACAAUGACUCUCUUUGUUUUUUUACUGAAAUCAAG